ACUAAGCGUACACGGUGGAUGCCCUGGCAGUCAGAGGCGAUGAAGGACGUGCUAAUCUGCGAUAAGCGUCGGUAAGGUGAUAUGAACCGUUAUAACCGGCGAUUUCCGAAUGGGGAAACCCAGUGUGUUUCGACACACUAUCAUUAACUGAAUCCAUAGGUUAAUGAGGCGAACCGGGGGAACUGAAACAUCUAAGUACCCCGAGGAAAAGAAAUCAACCGAGAUUCCCCCAGUAGCGGCGAGCGAACGGGGAGGAGCCCAGAGCCUGAAUCAGUGUGUGUGUUAGUGGAAGCGUCUGGAAAGGCGCGCGAUACAGGGUGACAGCCCCGUACACAAAAAUGCACAUGCUGUGAGCUCGAUGAGUAGGGCGGGACACGUGGUAUCCUGUCUGAAUAUGGGGGGACCAUCCUCCAAGGCUAAAUACUCCUGACUGACCGAUAGUGAACCAGUACCGUGAGGGAAAGGCGAAAAGAACCCCGGCGAGGGGAGUGAAAAAGAACCUGAAACCGUGUACGUACAAGCAGUGGGAGCACGCUUAGGCGUGUGACUGCGUACCUUUUGUAUAAUGGGUCAGCGACUUAUAUUCUGUAGCAAGGUUAACCGAAUAGGGGAGCCGAAGGGAAACCGAGUCUUAACUGGGCGUUAAGUUGCAGGGUAUAGACCCGAAACCCGGUGAUCUAGCCAUGGGCAGGUUGAAGGUUGGGUAACACUAACUGGAGGACCGAACCGACUAAUGUUGAAAAAUUAGCGGAUGACUUGUGGCUGGGGGUGAAAGGCCAAUCAAACCGGGAGAUAGCUGGUUCUCCCCGAAAGCUAUUUAGGUAGCGCCUCGUGAAUUCAUCUCCGGGGGUAGAGCACUGUUUCGGCAAGGGGGUCAUCCCGACUUACCAACCCGAUGCAAACUGCGAAUACCGGAGAAUGUUAUCACGGGAGACACACGGCGGGUGCUAACGUCCGUCGUGAAGAGGGAAACAACCCAGACCGCCAGCUAAGGUCCCAAAGUCAUGGUUAAGUGGGAAACGAUGUGGGAAGGCCCAGACAGCCAGGAUGUUGGCUUAGAAGCAGCCAUCAUUUAAAGAAAGCGUAAUAGCUCACUGGUCGAGUCGGCCUGCGCGGAAGAUGUAACGGGGCUAAACCAUGCACCGAAGCUGCGGCAGCGACGCUUAUGCGUUGUUGGGUAGGGGAGCGUUCUGUAAGCCUGUGAAGGUGUGCUGUGAGGCAUGCUGGAGGUAUCAGAAGUGCGAAUGCUGACAUAAGUAACGAUAAAGCGGGUGAAAAGCCCGCUCGCCGGAAGACCAAGGGUUCCUGUCCAACGUUAAUCGGGGCAGGGUGAGUCGACCCCUAAGGCGAGGCCGAAAGGCGUAGUCGAUGGGAAACAGGUUAAUAUUCCUGUACUUGGUGUUACUGCGAAGGGGGGACGGAGAAGGCUAUGUUGGCCGGGCGACGGUUGUCCCGGUUUAAGCGUGUAGGCUGGUUUUCCAGGCAAAUCCGGAAAAUCAAGGCUGAGGCGUGAUGACGAGGCACUACGGUGCUGAAGCAACAAAUGCCCUGCUUCCAGGAAAAGCCUCUAAGCAUCAGGUAACAUCAAAUCGUACCCCAAACCGACACAGGUGGUCAGGUAGAGAAUACCAAGGCGCUUGAGAGAACUCGGGUGAAGGAACUAGGCAAAAUGGUGCCGUAACUUCGGGAGAAGGCACGCUGAUAUGUAGGUGAAGUCCCUCGCGGAUGGAGCUGAAAUCAGUCGAAGAUACCAGCUGGCUGCAACUGUUUAUUAAAAACACAGCACUGUGCAAACACGAAAGUGGACGUAUACGGUGUGACGCCUGCCCGGUGCCGGAAGGUUAAUUGAUGGGGUCAGCGCAAGCGAAGCUCUUGAUCGAAGCCCCGGUAAACGGCGGCCGUAACUAUAACGGUCCUAAGGUAGCGAAAUUCCUUGUCGGGUAAGUUCCGACCUGCACGAAUGGCGUAAUGAUGGCCAGGCUGUCUCCACCCGAGACUCAGUGAAAUUGAACUCGCUGUGAAGAUGCAGUGUACCCGCGGCAAGACGGAAAGACCCCGUGAACCUUUACUAUAGCUUGACACUGAACAUUGAGCCUUGAUGUGUAGGAUAGGUGGGAGGCUUAGAAGUGUGGACGCCAGUCUGCAUGGAGCCGACCUUGAAAUACCACCCUUUAAUGUUUGAUGUUCUAACGUUGACCCGUAAUCCGGGUUGCGGACAGUGUCUGGUGGGUAGUUUGACUGGGGCGGUCUCCUCCUAAAGAGUAACGGAGGAGCACGAAGGUUGGCUAAUCCUGGUCGGACAUCAGGAGGUUAGUGCAAUGGCAUAAGCCAGCUUGACUGCGAGCGUGACGGCGCGAGCAGGUGCGAAAGCAGGUCAUAGUGAUCCGGUGGUUCUGAAUGGAAGGGCCAUCGCUCAACGGAUAAAAGGUACUCCGGGGAUAACAGGCUGAUACCGCCCAAGAGUUCAUAUCGACGGCGGUGUUUGGCACCUCGAUGUCGGCUCAUCACAUCCUGGGGCUGAAGUAGGUCCCAAGGGUAUGGCUGUUCGCCAUUUAAAGUGGUACGCGAGCUGGGUUUAGAACGUCGUGAGACAGUUCGGUCCCUAUCUGCCGUGGGCGCUGGAGAACUGAGGGGGGCUGCUCCUAGUACGAGAGGACCGGAGUGGACGCAUCACUGGUGUUCGGGUUGUCAUGCCAAUGGCACUGCCCGGUAGCUAAAUGCGGAAGAGAUAAGUGCUGAAAGCAUCUAAGCACGAAACUUGCCCCGAGAUGAGUUCUCCCUGACCCUUUAAGGGUCCUGAAGGAACGUUGAAGACGACGACGUUGAUAGGCCGGGUGUGUAAGCGCAGCGAUGCGUUGAGCUAACCGGUACUAAUGAACCGUGAGGCUUAACC
rnacentral:rRNA from 1 species